GAAGCAGACCCCUCCUUCCUCUCCUCUCCUCCUCUCAGUUGGUCCUGUGACUCCUUACCGGGACGGUGUAACAGUACAAAGCGGGGACCGGUAGUGAAUGGAGAAGUGCAGUAGCCGCAUCAGUAGCAGCAGUCGGGCGCACCGACCAAAGCAUGCUCCAGCGCAGCCAUGACUUGCUCGGCGUCAGAUAGCGAGAAGAUCGUGAUCAACUGCGGCGGGAUCCGACACGAGACCUACCGGAGCACCCUAAAAACACUGCCGGGGACACGCUUGUCUUGGCUGACUGAACCCGACGCCUACAGCAACUUCGACUACGACCCGAAGUCCGACGAAUUCUUUUUUGACCGCCAUCCGGCCACCUUCGCCUUCAUCCUCAACUACUACCGCACCGGUAAGCUCCACUGCCCCAAUGAUGUAUGUGGGCCGCUCUUCGAGGAGGAGCUCGCCUUCUGGGGCAUCGAUGAGACGGACGUGGAGGCAUGCUGCUGGAUGAACUACCGGCAGCACCGCGACGCCGAGGAAGCCCUGGACAGCUUCGAGACCCCCGAGCCGGACGCACCCGAGGAUGAUCCGGCGCUCACCGGCGGGGCGGACGGCGACCUGAAGCGCCUGUGCAUGCAGGAAGACGGCCGCAGAGCGACGUGGUGGGAGGUGUGGCAGCCUAAGAUGUGGGCGCUGUUCGAGGACCCUUACUCCUCCAAAUACGCUCGGUAUGUGGCGUUUGGGUCACUCUUCUUCAUCCUCCUCUCCAUCUCCACUUUCUGCCUGGAGACCCAUGAAGCCUUUAACACAAUCUACAACAAAACGGAGAAUGUAACCAAUGGCAACGUGACACAUGAGGAGAUAGUGUAUGAGGUGGUCACAGAUGGCUGGCUGACAUAUGUGGAGGGCGUCUGUGUCAUCUGGUUCACCAUUGAGGUGAUGCUGCGCGUCAUCUUCUGCCCUGAUAAGGCAGAGUUCUUCCGCAGCGCCCUUAACAUAAUAGACUUUGUGGCCAUUGUGCCCUUUUACCUAGAGGUAGCGCUGAGUGGCCUCUCCUCCAAAACAGCCAAAGAUGUGCUGAGUUUCCUGCGUGUGGUGCGUUUUGUCCGUAUCCUGCGUAUAUUCAAGCUCACCCGCCACUUUGUCGGUUUACGGGUCUUGGGCCACACUCUGCGGGCAAGCACCAACGAGUUCUUGCUGCUCAUCAUCUUCCUGGCACUUGGCGUCCUCAUCUUUGCUACCAUGAUUUACUACGCUGAACGCAUUGGUGCUGACCCAGAUGAUCCAACGGCUGCAGCCCACACCAACUUCAAGAACAUCCCAAUUGGUUUCUGGUGGGCUGUAGUGACCAUGACCACACUUGGCUACGGAGAUAUGUAUCCUGAGACAUGGUCGGGAAUGCUGGUGGGUGCCCUCUGCGCCUUGGCUGGUGUGCUGACCAUUGCUAUGCCUGUGCCCGUCAUUGUCAACAACUUUGGCAUGUAUUACUCCCUGGCCAUGGCCAAGCAGAAGCUCCCCAAGAAGAGGAACAAGCACAUCCCCCGAGCGCCACAGCCAGGCAGCCCCAACUACUGCAAGCCAGAUGCCCUGGCCAUGGCAACCGCUUCACCGCACAGGCUGAUGGGCAAUGUACUAGGGCCGGGCAUGGUAGGAUCUGGCAGCAUGAUGGGUACUGGAGACUGCCCACUGGCACAGGAGGAGAUCAUUGAGAUCAACAGGGCAGACUCCAAGCAGAAUGGUGACACGGCGGCCAACGCAGCAGCCUUAGCCAACGAGGAUUGCCCCACCAUCGACCAGGUCCUUGGGGACGAGCGCAGCCCGGCCACCGCGGGCCUUGGUUCCACCACUAGUCGCGAGCGAUACCCACAUGACCGGGCCUGCUUCCUGCUGAGCGCUGGGGAGUUCCAGCGCACGACAGACGGGAACGUUCGUAAAGUAGGAGGCACUGUGAACGGAUACUGGAGCGACAGCCCUUGGUAAAAGAGAAGCAGAUGACAAACGCCACAUGAGAAGAAGAGAGAGAACAUGACAUCAGAGACAGCAUACAAACAGAAAUAUGCAAUGUAGAUAAAUAAGAUGGACAGGUGGUUUUAUCUGUGUGUUCAGAUAUGUUGUAUCUGUGGCACACAUGUUGUGUGCACAUGGAUGCUCAUGUUUUAUGUUUCUGUGUGUGUGUGUGUGUGGCCAGAAUUCCAUCUACCUCUGUACUAAGAUGCACAAAUGUCAACUAGGAAAAACACAUUGUUUGAAGAAAAAAAAGAGGAAACAAUUAUUCCUUUGGUAUUAUUACUUUAGUUUUGGCAGUUAUUAUUAACAGUCUAGAUGAUAUCUUUCUGUCAAAGAUUGUACUUUUGUUUUAAUUGAUAUCAUUUCAAUUUAAACCUUCUGUUUUGUUUAAAAAGGAUUUUUCUGAUGUUGCAGAAAUUUAUUUGAUUUCAGAACUACAAUGUCAGACUUUGUCCUUGUUGAAGACAGUAAUUAUGUGUCUGUUGGUUAAGUUUUAGGUCUGUCCUCACAUCUCACUCUCACCUUCUUUCUCUCCCACCGAUUACUAUCAGAGAGCUUUCAGCAACAUGAGACUAUACUUGGACAAGAUCCACUUAAACAUUCAGAGAACAUUUAUGAAGUAUAAAGUAUUGUUUGUCUGUUGGAUCUUGUCAAAGAAUAUGAUUCAUGAAAAUGAUGAUGGAUAAUGGAUUCCUUAUUCAGAGUUAGUUUCUGUACAUUCAUAUUACUUUUACACUCAUAAACUUAUUAAUUUCUUUGCCAAGAGUGAAAUCAAAAUUGUCAAAAUCCAUUUGAAAAUGAUUAUCUAACACUAAAAUACUACACCAACAUCUAUAAAGUUCCCAAAUUAAAAUGUUUUAUCACAUUUGUUUGACACAUACAUGAACAGAAAUAAAAAAAAAAAACCAAUGUCACAGUGACAAGUCUUCAGGAAGUCACAGCGCCUGGCCGCUUGUCACCUACUAAUUUUACUUUUGUGUGAUUAAACAAAAGAGAUACAACUUGUUAAUUAGUGAGCUUCAGUUUUGGAAAUCUUGGGCCUAGGUUAUGUUUCCCCGGCUUCCAGUCUUUAUGCUAAGCUAAGACAAUUUAUUGCCCCCUGGCGCUAGCUCUUACUGCACAGAAAUGAAAUGUAUUCCUAAUUUUCAGUAAGAAAGCGAAUAAGAGUGUUUCAAAAAUUUCAACCUAUUCCAUUAGUCAUAUGUGACCCUGUUUCCUGUUUAGCCUCAUGCUCCAACUGGGCAUCAAUUUCCUUUUUUCCUCAGAAGUGCAAAGUACAAGUGAUUUUGAAGUUUUAAUCUAGUGGAAAUUCAGGAUUAGAUUCAGUUGAAAAAUUCUUUUAACCAUCAAUCCUAUUAGACACUAGGCACACACACAGUUUUGUUUCUAUAUCCCUGUGGGGACAACUCACUGACAUAAUGCAUUCCCUUAGCCCCUUAUCCUAACCUCACAACUAAAUGCCUAAUCAAAUGAACCUAAACCAAAUUCUAACCCCCAAAAAGAAGUCUGGACCCGUGAGUCCCCACAGGUUAUUGUUAUUGUGUAUUGAGGUUGAGAGUCCCCUCUGGAAUAUAUAAACAAGCCCACACGUGCACACACAGAUGUUCACACAUGCUCCAGUCUCUGCUGAAUCUGUCAAUCGUUUCUCACCAUUUCAUCCUCUCCUUAUCCUCCUCUACCUUUCCAGUGUCCAUAUGUUUUGAGUGUGUCUAAGGCCACUGCUGAUUGGUAGUUUUUGUCAUGAUGAUGUACAUAUGUAAAGUUUGCGUUGUAAAUAAUUCUGCAUGGGUUUCCAACGCAAGCAGUGAGGAUACUGAUAAGAAUAAUAAUUUGAGGAGGUCUGACAAAAUUUUAGUCUCAAGUUUAAUGAAUGUGUAUAUAACAUUUAGAUUACUAAGAGUGUGUAUGAAUUAAGAGUGUGUUUAGAAGCAUACAUAUGCACUAACAACGCAUGCAGGAAAAAAAAUGUUCACCUCUUUGGAUGCAGGAGGUGGGACGGGCUGACAUUAUGCAUGCCAAAAUGCUAUGAUGCUAUUGGUCACAAAAGACCAUGUUAGGUACUGUAAUGGGGCCGGGUAGGGGUGGGAAAGUUUAUUUUUGCAGGAUGGGGAGGGGUUACGUUUCUGAUAGGUCUUGUAUAGCUGCUUUCUUAUCAAUCUUGAGAGACUUACGAUAAGAGAUACAUAUUAACACUUGUAGCUUAUGAUAUUUUUCUUUUCUUUUUUUUUGCUUCUCUUUUCACAGAGAACUGUUCUGAAAGCCCUGCGCUUAUCAGAUAUAUGCAAAAAGAAGCAGUAACUGUGAACUAAUGCUAAGAAAUGAAAAAAAACAAAUCCAGUUUCUUCCAUCCAUUGUCUUGAUUCCUCCUCUGCCAGAGAGAGGAGAGACCCUUUGCCCCUAUCAUCAAUUUCAUUCAUCUGCUCCUUCAUUGUCUGUCACGUUUCCUGUCCGUCUGUCCUGUCCUGUACUUUACAACUGCAUUUAAACCGCAAUGAGUUCAAAGGAUACUUCUGCAAUGCGAGAAUCCAACCAUUCAGUGCAACCUCUUACAAACUCUUUUCAACGUUACCACCACAAAUGAAUAUCAGACAAGCCUGAUUAUAGGACAUCUUGUUUUUUUAUUUUAUUUUUUAUUUUUUCUGAGCUUUCUGAAGACUAAUCCUGGAACCUUUCUCCAUGAUACUGUUGGACCAAGGACAAGAGCGUCAUUAUCCUUGAAAUCUUUUCUACCAAUAACCACUCAUCUAUCAGUCCCACACACACUCACAUUCUCACAUUCUUCUGUGUUUUUGAGCUCCUCAUGACUGCUUGACAGUUUUUCAUUUUUCUGCAGGAAAGACGCUGGGAGUCCCUUUCAACCUGUUUUUACUCAUCAUGAAUUUAUCUCCUAUGUGGCAGUAAAUGCACCAUCUUUAAAAGGUGUAAGAGAAUCCCUAGCCCAGCAACAUUAACACUACAAACAACCGAUAAUGCAACCUCUGGUAAAGAACUCUCUUCAUACAAAAACCAUAUCUGAUGUUGGGAAUAUCUAAUGUAUUAUUAAUUAGUGAAUUAAUUAGUGAGUAUAUAGUGAGUAUGGCCCCUGUUUUUCCCAACAUAAUUUCCAUUAAAAAAUGCUGUCUUAUACUUAGUAGGAUUAGGUGGUGUUGUUGGAGAAAGUAAAAGGUCCAAUGAAGUUGUAGAAUUAAUUUCUUAAUGUGAUGUUAUCCCUAUAAAAAAUGUGCAAUCCAAUGGACUAUAACUAGUUAUUUAGUGGUUGGUCUUUUUAACUUACACCCACUUGUAAAGGAUGAUAUCACCCCAUCAGACUUUCAUGCAGGAGACCAGAGCUCAUGUCCUGUCACACACCUGCAAUUAGAAUUCAACAGCCAGUCUUUCCCUGACCUCACCGAUACUGUAGUUGCCAUGCAGUGAUAUUGAAAGCCAGAGUUUUUGAAAUAUUGACAUUGAAUGCAAAAAACUAAGAUUGAGCCCAGGAUUUUGCUGAAUGGUCUGAUAUCAACAUUGUGUCCAGUGAUGGGGAUUUUUGUGGAUAAUAAUUAAUUUUGUGGAUGUUAACAAAAAAUUGCAAGUGAUCAAAUAGCCACAAAAUAAACACACAGUUGAACCGGGAGCCUUCUGAGUUAUGAGGGUCUGGGGCAGAGGAAGUUAUUGUUUUUACAGAUUGGUGAUCCAGACUUGAGCAUUAAAUUUGGCCGUAAUGACUUAUUUUCAACAUGGUGGAGAAUUUACACUCAUCUACUGCAGGCUAUGUACAUUACAUUGCAAUGUAGAGAGGGCCAGGAUUUCAUAGAUAUGAAGCAUUGACUAAAUGGAUUAAUCACCAAAAGAUCUUUGAAGAAGUUGCACUGAAUUACCAGUGAGGAACCACUGCAGAGGUACCCUUCCAGGUCUGAAUUACUGCUGGUUCUUACACGAUGCGCUUGUUGCCAACAUUUCUUUCCUUUUACAUCCAUUCACAACUCAGGUAUCUCUUUCUAAAUCCCAAUUUAUGUGUCCCAGUGUUCAUGUCCAACCAUUGUUCCUCAAAUAUGUCCUUUAUGUAUGAAACACGGAGAGACUAGAAAAAAAGAUGAGCUUUCCUUUCUGUUGUGUGCCUGCCAUGUGCUCCGUUUUUGUGCUAUUGUCCCUCCUUCAAAAGUGCUAUUUUGCUUUCCUUGUCCAGAUCUGCUUCCUGUCUUCACUGUGUGUCAUCCCCUGCGUCUUUCCACCCUUUCCUAAUAACUGUAUCCCUCUUUCUGUGAGACUUACCCCCACAACACACCAUCCAUUCCCCCAUCCUCACUCUUGCACAGCAAGCAAAACCAAAAGGAACUGCGUGAAAUUCAAGCACCUUUGCACCUGACAAAAAAAAAAAAAACCCCAACACUGGAUUUCAGCAUGGAUGAAAACAGGAAUGGACAUAAAAUGACUGAAAAAGACUGGAGUGAUAGAUAUGUUGUAGAUGGGCAGGAGGGGGAAAAUGUGCAAUAAAAUGAUGUGUUCUGAGUGGACUCUCAGCCAUGCAGCAUCAGAGGGAGGAGAUGGAGGAUGAAAAUGUUGGGCAAGACAAAAAAGUGGUGAUGAUGAGGAGGAGGAAGAAAGACAGAAGCAAAAUCGCUUCUCCAUUGCUGAGUUUCUAACCCCUCCUCCCUCUCCCUACAAGAAAAGGAAAACAGUAAACUUUAUAUCCCUGCUCCUCCAUCUCCUUCAAUGGAAGUCACUGUAGAAAAUAGGAGGGAGACAGAGAGAAAGAGAAAAAAACAAGAUGAGAUGUAGAGAUCAUCACCAUCAAUGACACCUGUGACCUGAACAUUAAUCAUCAGCUGUAUGCCACAUUCAUAUGCAACCUGAAAAUCACACAUGUAAGCUACUUAACAUGGAAGUGACAGAAUAUGUCAAACUUUUUGAACUGAUGUUCAUAGCAAACCACAGCAUGGAUGCUCCCAGCUCAGCAGCAAGAGGGCCAUAACCUAUGAGAGACAUGGAAACCAUGCGACAAGGAUACCUUCUGCUUCCACUGUUUGUAAUCGAGUUGUGGUAUUCCUUUACUGAGCACUCAUUUUAUUUCAAGAAGUUGCAUGCACAACUGUUGAUUUCCAGUGAAUGUUCCACUAUUUUGGCACUCAAAGCACUAUGCAAGGUGAGGGGUGAUGUUGAACAGCUGCGGCAGAGUCUGAUCGAGUGUUGCCAUCGGGCUGCAGAGGCCGGGCUGCCCUCUGCUGAACUACAGGACCUCUACCAGCGGAUGGAAAUCUAUUCAUACAUAUCAGAAACAUCAGCCAUAUCCUGUCUAUUUGAUAUCAUCGGACUCUUGUGAGACAAUUGACAUCUUAGGACUUCCAAUGUAACUGAUCUUUUUAAACACAGACGUCAAAGAAUCAGUUUUAAACAACCCUGAGAAGGAAUUGAAGCUAAAAACACAUGGAUGGACGUUCCAGUCAAAGACUCCAAACUGCGCUAGGGUAACAUCUGCCAAAAAAGGAGGUGUCAUUGGAAAGAAAGAUGUGAUUGACCCUCCCUCUCUCUCACUCUCUCUUUCCCUCCUGAAUCUUUACGGUAUCUUGACCCCUACCCCCACCCCCUCCCCGCAUCUCAGCAUUGCUGCUGCUCCUCUUCACCAAAUCUGCAUGGCAUGAAUAAACUCAAUUAAACCCGAAGAAAGACAGUCAAAAACACAAUGGAUGGAUUACAAAAGGGAGAGAGAAGGGAGGGAGUCCAUUAGAGGGGGAGAAAGACUGUAGAUUUCUUUUUUCCACCUAGAAAUGUCAAUGCAAAGUCAUUAUAUCAUCGUCCGAGCUUCUUUUUGACUCCCAACUGGCUGCUAAUAAGAGUAAAGCAACAUCCCCUGCAGUGAACUCUUUCAGAAGGCAUGAUGAACGAGGAGGAGCUCUCUCCUGCUCUGAGAGAAACAGAGAGGGGGAAGGAGAUUCUGAAGAUCAUACACUCUAUACCUCUGGGGAUGGGGCGAGAAGAGCUUUCUAAACGUAGCAGGUUGAGCAGCAGAGGGAGAACAUCUUUGGGAAACUACACUAGGGACAAAAAAAUGGCAAUGAAUGCAAAUUAGAAGUGCAUUUUAAUGACAUUGUUUACCAGCAUGAAUAUUCUGCAUGACUUCUUUAAGCCAUUCUGAUCUCCCCCAUGAGUAACAGGGCUAGAAAUUGAGAAUUUAAACGUGAAAUUUUAACAAAAUUAUCACAUUUUACAAAAAAAAAAAAAGAUUGUCUCAAUUUUGUUUUCAAUGAUAAAACAUAUAUAAUUAAGAAGAAAAGUGUUGCAACAUUUACCCUGAUUUGUUUUCUUUGAGAAAUCUUAGGGGACUCCAGCUCUCUAAAAUACAAGACUCCACCCAACUUCUGCAAGUAUUUCUUAUGCUACUUACUACAAGUUUGUCUAAUGCUACUACGACUUCUAUGUCUCACCUGGCUGCUACUCUGCUUCUUCUUCCUCCUCUUCUCGUUCUUCUUCUUGUAGCCUUUUACCAGAACCGUUAUAUGUAUUCUCUCUAAUGGCAGCUGUGUAUGUCUGUGUCACUAUCUGGACCCAGGACUAUCAAACUGAUGUUGAACUGAACUGUGUACUCCGAGAUGUCAUUCAUUCUGUGUAUUUUAACUGAGCUAGAUAUCCAAGGCAUCACCACACUUUAGAGAUUAGACAGGUCAUCUGAAAUCUGGGGUCAAGAAUAGGACAGAAAAAAGGUUCAGAUUACAUUUUUUUCUUACCCAAACAGUGAUUCUGGCAGGUCUCUUUACUUCAUCAGGUAAAUAGAUAAAGGAUGGCUUCCUCUUCAUCCAGCAGCUUAGAUUUAUACUCAGCAGUUUAGUACGUACACCAAGCUAAAGCUAAUACAGUCUAGUACAACAACCCUCCCUUCACAAAGGUUAUAAUGUUCAGUCUUUGAAGACACUGUGUUACAGAUGUUUUGAUUUGAUUUAGAUUUUUUUGAUUAUGAUCAUUUAGCAGGAUGUAGUUUGCAUUAUACAGAGAAGUGUUUGUGUUAUUUAGCCUCCUCUCAUAGAUAAAUAAAUAAACGGCAUGGACAAAAUAUCAGAAAUAACUGUCAGUAUAAAGGUAUAACAGUCUGACAAACUGCAGCCUCCAAAAUAAGCAUUAAGUGAAAACUAAAGGCCUGGCCUGGUAAUCAACAAAGACAAACUAUUUUCUAAAUUCCAUAAAACUUGUUUUUUAUAUAACAAACCCAGAACAUGUAUACUUAUAUUGGUAUGCUAACUGAUAACACUUUUAGUAGCCUUGUUGUUAAAAUGGUAUGGCUGGCUAAAACAUCAACAAAGCCUGUAAAAAAAAAAGGCAGUGAAAACUUAAACUUAAGCAAAAGCCUAAACCUGUAGCAUAGAAAGUUUCCAGUUUAUUAUUGUUAAAAGUGACCCAAUCUAAAAGACUAUGGCAAUUGGUUUGUAGGUAAUUUUCAAUAACUCCAAACUAGGGUGGGUUAACACUGAAGUAGGCUGAGCCUGUCAUCUGUUAAUAGAGCCUGAAACAACAUAGGAGCAGAAUGUCAUUUCCCUCAGUGAGACAACAGAAGAGGCAGCGAUGCACUGUGCACAGUGUAAGUCAGACCAGCAUUCAUGGAUGAACAGGAACUUAUGGACAUUGUGCUGAGCUUCUUCUCACUAUUUUGUGGACAAACACUGAACUAGGCAGAGACACUUACUUUGUUUGAAAGUUAGCAGAUAGGACAGAUGUGUUCUUACCAAAACAGCUAGUUAGUACUAAUUUCUUUUUUAUGUAUCUCAUUUGCGCAUUAAUGCUCAGUAUUGAUGCCAUUUUUAUUUGAAUUUUUAUGUACUCAUAUGUAUUUGGUUUGUCAGACCAUGUGGGCCCAUCACCUGGGCUAAAUUAUUUGAAACUGUGUAGCAUGGAUGGAUGACUGAACAGGAAUAUGGGGCACAGACACAGGUGCCCAAAGGUUCAGGGGCCCAAGUUUGAAGUGACUGUUAAUAUUUCUUUUUGCAAAAUAGAAAUGACAACAAAGAGACAACUAUAGAAAAAAAUAAUUUUUGCUUAUGUUUCAUUCUGGCUGUCUUACUCUGUUGUAGGAGGGAUUUUUUUUUUUUUUUUACAUGUCUGUGCCCAGGUGCAUUGUCUAAUAAUCUAUCCAUGUUUGUAGGGUUUUUAUUUUGUACCUGACAUGGCUAUGAUAAACAUCACCUUGCUUAUAAUUUCUAAAAUGCUUACACAUGAAGACAAAUCUGUACCAAACUCACCAACCAGUGAAGUUCAUCAGCUGUACUUUUCUGCACUGCACUGGCUAUCGAGCAAAAAAAAAGAAGGAAAAAAAAAAAAAGAAGCUAUUUCUGGUAUAUAGCUAUGUUGCUCCCAGAGUGACAGACAUGAAUGUUCAAAAUUUCUUCUCAAGUCUUCCCUUGGAUCUUGAACUGGAACCUUCAAAAUUUGGUCAAAUGAUCCACAAUGUUUUCAACAAUUGUUACAUUGCUCGGCUACAAGGGGCAAAAGUUGCUAUAAGAUGGAACUGAAGACUUUCAUUCUUUGUUUGAUAUAAAAGCUUGAAGCUGUAACAUAUCUGUAAGCAUGUUUAAAAUUUUUUCUUAAAACUGUGAAUUGGAAGUUUGUGCACAACAUGCUAGAUCUAAGAUUUCUGUAGACUUUACCUGUAUUUGCAUUGUUAUUGAGCACAGAAAAUGUGCAUUGGACGAAUUGCAUAUUUGGACAGUCCACACCCUCACAGACUUGCCCUAGAGCAUACCCGUUAAGUUUUGGACAUUUACAGCCAUGCUAACUGAAUCCAAUAUUGUUGAGGCCCUUGGCUGGAGAAUAAAAUCAAAUACCCCCACUUCACACAUGUGAAGUUUGGUUUGCACUACAUUCUGGGUACCAAAAAGGUUACUAUUUGGUAUCCCUACUCCUUUUAAAUUACUGUAUGUUGAGUUACUUGAGUUUUUCUCUUGAUUUUCAUUGUGAAUUUUUCAUGAUAUUAUGUAUAAUUCUGGGGGAAUUGAAACAAAUCGCAAACAGCCAAAAAUCAAGUGGAAAACAGGUCCUAUCUCAGGAAUCUACUGUAUCACAAAUCUGAGAGUUGAAACGUCAAAAUAUUAUGAUGCUGUGUGUCUAUUUUCAAGAAAGUUUUAGGUUUCAAAUUAUAGUUUUAUUCUCAUCAUCUCUACAAUGCUACUUUCAUGUUACCUGCCUUUGUAAAAGCAUACAGUACAGGUUACUGUAAUGUUUCAACCAAAAGGUGAACAUAACUGCAUCAGUGUCAUUCGUUUUGUUAAUUUUCAUCAUUUUUUAUUUGUAAAAACAGUACUUUGCUAAAACUUACCCAUAAAGUUGUUCUGUGUAUUGAGGGGUUUUAAAAAAGAAAUAUACUGGAAGGUAAUGUAGCAUUAAAGGAAGUCAGGAGACCUGUGUAAGACAAAAGCAGAGGCUCAUAUAGAUAUCCUCCCUUGUAGCACAGGCCAAGCUCCAAGAAUGCUUGAUCCCAUAAUGCAACUUGAUGUUAUCUGUAAUUUCGGAACAAAAAAGCACACAAGUACAAAAAUGACAAAAUUGAUUAUUUACCAUGAAAGGUUAAAAAAUGUUUUUCAUCUUCAAUCCUUUACCAUCCUGCAGAAAUGAUUUUUGUUACAUUUUGAGAAUAUUAAGCUGUAAGAGAAAAAGUAGUCAGUGUUUCCAAUUUCUUGUUUGGUACUCGAAUGUAUGAAAAAGAAAUGCUUCAGGAGCUCAUGGGAUAUGGGUACAGCCAAUAUCCACAGUUGGAUCCACCCCUUCCUACCCGACCCUUGUCCUACAUACUUUUGUAAGUCCAAAAAUCAGUCUAAUUAUAAUAAAGACUUGUCAGCAGUAGGAGAAGAUGAAUUGUUACGCAAUUCUAUAAAGAUUGAUUAUGCCACUGCAGUGUAGUGGGGAUCGCGCAAUAAUUAAAUAAGCUCUUUUUAGGGCCUCUGGUUUGUGUGUAGGGAAUGUGUGUAAGAAUGUGUUUGUCUGUAUAAAAGACUUUUAUGUGUAAGACAGGAAGCAUGCAGUGAGUCUGAGCUAAGCCAUGCCCAUGUGAGUAGGCAGACAUCUGAGCUAACCCAUAGUGCAACUUUACUUGAAACCCAACUGAUGACCAAACAUAUCAGGACAAGAUGCAGAGUAGCGGCUCUGCCCACUGUCACUCCCUGAAAAUGCAACCGCUUCUUUUCUCCAUCCCAUGACAACACAUUUCCCCCCUCUCUCCACCCUUUCCUCCUCUUCCUCUUUUCCCAUUUCCUCCUUCAGUUAUUUUGAGGAAGAAGCUUCUUUUUGCAUCCCUUGUUCUUGUGUUUUUCUAUCCUAUUUUUUCAAGAUGAAUUCUAAAUGCAUGCGUGGGAAACUUUAAAAUGAAGAGUCUGACUUAAUUGUGAAUGACAUGUGAAGGGAAGCCUCUCGUCCGUUGAAAAAAAAAAAAAGUUCUUCCUUUCUUCCUUUCUUUGUCAGGUUAGAAGAGACAUUGUGGGACAUGAACUAUUUUUUUGUCUUUAAACUUUUUUCCCCUGAUCAAUUCACUUUAUUAAAAGUCCUGUUCUUAUAAUAUAUUGCGAGCAGAGUGGAGUUAAAACAGCAAUAAAGAAGCCAGAUUACUGAGCAGAAGAUGGACUUUUUCUAUAGUAUAGUUUAUACACACUUUUCACAGAGCAGCAGUUUAAGACAUGAUCACUAUCUGGAGGCAGAAUGAGUUCAGUUUCAUAAGUCCAGUCAUGGUUUUCCAGAAGCCUCCAGAAACAUUUUGGGAAAUCAUUGUUUCAUGUAACCGUUUCAGAACAUAUCCUCCAGAAAUAUUUGAGGUCAUUUCUCUGUACUUUAAGAACUUUUUACUGAAUCACAAACUUUUCUUUCUUUUAUCAGGCACGUUGAGUCAGCCUCUCUGUUGAGGUCUGUUCAAUUUGCUCAUCAUUUUUAUUUUUUAUUUUAUUUUCCUAAUGCUGCACUUUUUCAUAAUCAGAAAAAUAUAUCAUUCCAUAAAUCCAGAUGCAACUACUGUCUUUGGAUUUUGUCACUCUGGGUGGGGUCAUAUCACUGUUGUUUGAUGGUCCCACGACAGGGAUAAAUUAUUGAUAUACUGUAUGUCCACUGGAAAGAGGCAGAGAAAAAAAGAGGGAUGACCAGCAGAAAGAUGAGAGGCUUCCCUCCAUUAAUGAAUGGGGAUUAUGCUAUAAAAAAAACCUGAUGCUGGAUAUAAUUUUAUUGUCACUAAACUGGAGAGAGAAAAAAAAAGACAAUAAAGAACUGUAUAAUAUAUAUUUCAAUGGAAUGUUUAUUAUUUACCUUUUCUAUUUUUGAAAAAUGUAAAAGAACAAAAAAGUUGAAACUGUAAUAAUCCAACAGCAUUUGUGAAAUAGAGACUUAUAAAAAACAGCUCUGUUGUUAAAAUGUUUUAAAGUUUGACUGUGAAUGCUGAUUUACCUGAGCAACUCUCCUCCUUUACUGAUAGAAUAAAUAAAAAGCAGAUGAAAAAUAAAAAACACACACAAAUACUGGGAAAAAGCAAACAAAUUCAAUUUAAAGAGAAAACCUCAAAAACUUAAUAAAAAACAUUAAAAGUUUAUGCCAAAAUGUUC